rnacentral:rRNA from 1 species
UACGUAGGGUGCAAGCGUUAAUCGGAAUUACUGGGCGUAAAGCGUGCGCAGGCGGCUUUGCAAGUCAGAUGUGAAAUCCCCGGGCUUAACCUGGGAACUGCAUUUGUGACUGCAUGGCUGGAGUGCGGGAGAGGGGGAUGGAAUUCCGCGUGUAGCAGUGAAAUGCGUAGAUAUGCGGAGGAACACCGAUGGCGAAGGCAAUCCCCUGGGCCUGCACUGACGCUCAUGCACGAAAGCGUGGGGAGCAAACAGG